AAUUACAUUAUUGAUCCAGAGA
rnacentral:miRNA from 1 species